AUCGUUCAUCUCGACAUAGCUAACAGAAAGGGUUGUGAAGGGACGGAAGUAAGUAAAGACAACUGAAGGAACGCAAG
rnacentral:ncRNA from 2 species